AUUGUGAAGUGUUGACUUGAAAAUGUACAAGUGUAUUUUUAGUGAUCGUGUAAGUGACUGGUAAAAGACCCGAGGUUUGCUCACGAGUUUACAGCUCGUUAAAUCGACGGGAAUCCGGGACAGAAGAUCUUCACCUGCUUCCGCUCAUCGGUGAUAAAUUUUAUGACAAACGAAUAAACCAAUGGUUGGGUUUGUAGCACAUGAAGGCAUUCGGUCGAAAACAUGACUUGGUGGCCGCGAGCGCGCGAGAAGGCUGUAUCAGGAUGAGCCUGCGUAUG